rnacentral:rRNA from 1 species
CACGUAGGGACCAAGCGUUGUCCGGAUUUAUUGGGCGUAAAGAGCUCGUAGGCGGUUCAGUCAGUUGGGUGUGAAAACUUCGAGCUUAACUCGAAGCAUGUAUCCGAUACUGCUGUGACUUGAGUCCGGUAGGGGAGUGGGGAAUUCCUGGUGUAGCGGUGAAAUGCGCAGAUAUCAGGAGGAACACCGGUGGCGAAGGCGUUACUCUGGGCCGGUACUGACGCUGAGGAGCGAAAGCGUGGGUAGCAAACAGG